ACAUCUCUUGUCUCUCACUCAGACGAAACGCACACAUUAUCUUCAAAGGGUGGAAAAGAAAAUCCCGCUUCCUCUCAGCUCAGAGAGAGCUGUCCACAAAACCGCAAGGGGUUCAUAAUACACCACCCUCCCCCUCGCUGCAGCGCUGACUGACACACUUCUUCACCUUGUUUAUGCGGCACGGCGACUACAAAGCGGGGCAACAGGAAAGUCCCCCGCUCGGCACGCGCCCAGCGGACGAGGUACAGCAAAUGGAGCGCCGAGGAAGCAGCAGACGACCGAGUCAACUCGGUAUUUGCAGUCAUCAGUUUCCGCCGUUCCCCGAAAUGUCACUCAGAGGCAUGCUGGACCGACGUUCUGCCGCGAUGACGAGCGACCCUGGUGCGUCUGGAGGGGGUCGAGCUGUCGGGGUGUAGACGUUGCUCGGAUGCGUGGUACAUAACGGGUUCUGAUAUCUAAACCUGUGGAAACGAGACGCUCCGUCCCAGCGAGAGUGAAGAGAGAGCCAAAUCCUGCAGGUAGCCACAGAGGGCCACUGAUGCCAAGUCAAGGAUGACGUGGGAGGAGUCUCAGGAGUUCAACAGAAGAAAAAAAAAGUUUGAUUUUCAUGUGACCAGCUUAAAGGGCUUAGUGGUCUAAUCCUUUAGGCAAAUGAAACGUCUCAAGUCUCAACUCAAGGCUCAGGCCGGCUGGAGGAAUCAACAGGCGUUUAUAGUGAUAUGAAUCCCGCUGGCUGCCUGGUAUCUGCUCAGGAAUGCAUCGGCAGGGGAGAGCGCUCUGCUCCUCCCGUUUUUUGGGGAUGACUCAUCUUUUUUGGCAACUUUUCAGCCUCCACGCGGCACACCCCGUGUUUUCCUUAGAAGACAGGCUCCGAGUGACAUUAAGCAGACGGCUUUCAUUAGCGCUUGUAUUCACACUCAUAGUGUCAUCAGACGGAGCAGACAGGAACAGGACUUUGCAGCCCCAUCCGGAGCGAACGGUGCGGUUCAGAGGUGAGAGACGCCCUGGGGAAUGUGUGAACCAUCGUAGCCGUGGCGACCUCGGACUGGAUGACCGCUGAGAUCACAGCCUGAUACACCAGUGCAGAAAGCUUAACUUAACUUAAGUAAAUAACAUAACAGGGUGUUUGAGUAUUGAACUGAACUGCAUUACACUGGGCGUCACAUUCAAUAACCUCAAAACAGAACGGGAGGAGAAAUGCGGCCUCUUUGCAUCGGACCUCACAAAGUGACAUCAAAGUCACAUUGAUUAACGCUGCACGUCGGUUUUCACACCCAUUUGCACACAGCUGGAUGAACACGCCGUCACUAACAGAAACAUGGGUUAAAAAAAAGGCAGAAAAGCACUGAGAUUGGCGCUGCAAUGAAGACGUCUUUCAGACCCAUUUUGGGGUAUUUGUAAGCGGCAUACAAAAGUGAUGCAUUACAGAGAAACAUGCAUUCACAGAUACAGCAGAAAACAUUUCAGUCAGAUUAAUCAUAUAAACGUCAAUCGGCCCUGCAUGUAGUUAGGUGGUUAAUGUUAUGUACUACGAACAAAAUCACAGGGAGUUGAGAAUGGAAACAGAAUGCUGUUAGUUUAAAACAGCUCUGAUUGACACAUACGCACUGACUAUAUAAUUCGAUAAUGACGGUAUGCGUCUGUGGGUCACUGGAUUGAUUUUACCCCGUUGAAUCUUUAUCUGGUGACAUUCAGCCAAGGAGCACCACACUACUCUCACCUUUCCACCUGACUUGGCGGGCGGCGCGUAUUGGGCCACGCCCCUCCUGCACUCAGAAGAUAAUGAGAUCAUUCUUCUUCUUGAAUGAGCUCAGGCGUCGUUGGCAGCGUUAUCGAGAGAAACAGGAACAGAGCGUCUAACCGUUCUGACCUACAACUUCUGGUGCUUCACUGAACGUCAGCAGAUAAAACCUGCAGCCUUUACUACUUAUUGUAGCCUCUUCUGUAACUCAGAUCUAUAAGGACGUCCUUAUUUCUCUUGGAGCAACACCGCUAGUUCGUUAUCAGCACCAACCUUGAGACUCGUUAUCCUCUUCACUCUUCUAGGAUCAGAUUCAGACGGAGUUCCGAAAGUGUUUGAAGACUAUUCGAUUCAGGGCAAGUUUGGUUCCAUUUUCUUGUAUUUGGAUGACAAUUAAGAUGAAAUAAAUAAAAAUAAAAAUAAGGAAAGGCCUCAAUGAAAAGGUGUAAAAAUCAUUUUAUAAAUGUAUCAUAACUCUGAGGCUGUCUCACCCUCACGUUUAAUAGUGGCUUGGCACAGAUGUUGCCCCAUCUGUGCGACACCGCCGGCGACACCGACAGGGGUUCAAUAUAAUAACAUAUGUAAACACCAUUAUGUCAGUAAUUAGUUGAGAAAAUACAAGAUGAGCUGGGAUGAGAUGGACCGCUGAGAGUCAGAGACAAGGACGUCCGCGCAAUAAAAGGAGGACGGAUGGAUACGCAAGAUAUGGCGGUAGAGAGAACAGACGUAACAUGUCUGCACAUUAGCUCGCGUCCGGUUCGUUGAAGUCUGUUGGCUUCUUUGAACCUGACCACAACGUUUCUAAGGUGUAGAACGUACGACAUGUAACGGACCAAUCGCCAUGACAGUGGUGGGGACACAGCUCGAGUUAGGGCGCCUUUAGCCUAGCGUAGCACGUGGACGGGAGGCGGGCAGAGGAGGCCAGUCUGGCUCCGUCCCAAAUGAUGCUCACCAAUUCAUGUACAAAGAAAAACAAUCCCAAAACAACACAGAAAUUAAAAGUAUCAAAACAAAUGA